CACCAGCAGGGCACCAUUAACCCUUUGAGUGCCAACCAGUAUCCUAGGACCUAUGCUAAAAUCGCCAAGGCAUUUUUGCCGAUUUUGCAGCAGUUUAGGAAAAAAAUUAUGAAUCGCAAGUCAAUGAAGUUACAUAUUCAAAAACUUAAGGAAACCUU